rnacentral:rRNA from 1 species
AGAGUUUGAUCCUGGCUCAGGAUGAACGCUGGCGGCGUGCCUAACACAUGCAAGUCGAGCGAGAAGCUACCUAAGAUUUCUUCGGAAUGAAUAGACUAGUGGACAGCGGCGGACGGGUGAGUAACGCGUAAAUAACCUGCCAUACACACAGGGAUAGCCAUCGGAAACGGUGAUUAAUACCUGAUGAAGCUACAAAUUCGCAUGAAUAAGUAGUUAAAGAAUUUCGGUGUAUGAUGGAUUUGCGUUUGAUUAGCUAGUUGGUAAGGUAAGGGCUUACCAAGGCAAUGAUCAAUAGCCGGCCUGAGAGGGUGAACGGCCACACUGGAACUGAGACACGGUCCAGACUCCUACGGGAGGCAGCAGUGGGGAAUAUUGCACAAUGGAGGAAACUCUGAUGCAGCAACGCCGCGUGAACGAAGAAGGCUUUCGAGUCGCAAAGUUCUGUUAUAGGGGAGGAAGAAGUGACGGUACCCUAUAAGAAAGCCACGGCUAAUUACGUGCCAGCAGCCGCGGUAAUACGUAAGUGGCAAGCGUUAUCCGGAAUUACUGGGCAUAAAGAGUUCGUAGGCGGUUAAUCAAGCCAAUAGUGAAGUCCACCAGCCUAACUGGUGUAAGCUAAUGGAACUGAUUAACUUGAGUACAGGAGAGGAAAGUGGAAUUCCUAGUGUAGUAGUGAAAUGCGUAGAUAUUAGGAAGAACAUCAGUAGCGAAGGCGACUUUCUGGACUGUAACUGACGCUGAGGAACGAAAGCGUGGGGAGCGAACAGGA